GCAGAGGAGAGGAGGACAGGGGAUGGUAGAAACACGGAGAAGCGGGCAGAGAGGAACCGGAGGAUAAGAACAGGAAAAAAGUAAGAAAGAGGGGUGUCCGAAAGGGCACAGAGAGGAAAGAUCCAAGCAGGACCGAAAGCUGGGGAGAGCCCGAAAGGUCAGCGUGUGGACCCGGAGCUGAAGAGGGCGCGCCCCACCUCGGCUCCGAGCUGGAGCCCCGGGCGGCAGAAGCCUGGGAGGAAGGACGCCCGAGAGAGAGGCAGUGCCCGGCGGGCAGAGGUGGAGCGGCUCCGGCCGAGGGACCCCGGAAAGGGAAGGAUUCGUAUCCCAGUUCCUGAGACUGUAGGAAUCGAAAGAGAUCGCACAAGCAGCCUCUUUCUGCUCUGGAGAGUCCAGUGACACUUAGAAAAGGCCAAGAGGCAAGCCCCAAGCUUCGGGACCAUUUCCGGCAAGUGGGAAACGGGCCUGGAGUCCUGGGCACCACUGCCUCGUCCUGAUGCAGGGUGCAGACGGAGCCGCUGGAGAAAGGCCACUCUAGAAGCUGGGCAAGGAAGACCAGCUGGGCUGGAGGGGCCAAAGGGCUUCAGGAGCCCAGGCUCUGGGCCUUCGGGAGAAACACGGAAGGAAAGGAGGUGACCCACGGGAGAUGGCCGUUUCUGCAGGUCAGAGAUCAUGAACGUUGGCAAUUUCAUCUUGUUGCACCUGCCGGGUGUCAGAGCCACCUGGACCCUUUGCUAUGCACACAUCUGGUGACAGAUACAGAUCAGACCACAGGGCCCGGAUGGUGUGAGAGAACAGUGCGGCUCCAUGCCAGCCACCCCCGGAGCUCUGAGAACUGCAGCAGUGACAAAAGAGGAGCGCUUUAAAGAGCCUCGACUCCUCGGGGUUCCCAAAGUCCCUACAGAGCCGCCACUCCCUGGGGUGAGGAUGAGGUGAACCCCUGGGAGGUAGGGGAGAAUUUCAUUCCACCGAGAGGGGGGUGUGAUGUCUUCCUGGGGAGCUAGAGGGCACAGGCAGAGAGUGGGCAGGAAAGGACCUGAUCAAACUAAAAACUGAUCUGUGUAAUUAAAGCGAUGGUGCACGUGA